CCCUUAGAUGCUCUGGGCUGCACGCGCGCUACACUGAUGCGCUCAACGAGUUUUAACCUUGCCUGGAAAGGUUGGGUAAUCUUUUUAAAACGCAUCGUGAUGGGGAUAGAUUAUCGCAAUUAUUAAUCUUCAACGAGGAGUUCCUAGUAAGCGCGAGUCAUCAGCUCGUGCUGAUUGUGUCCCUGCCCUUUGUACACACCGCCCGUCGCUCCUACCGAUUAAGUGAUCCGGUGAGUAAUUCGGACUGCGGCAUUGACCGGUUCCCGAUCGUUGCUGCGGAAAGUUUAGUGAACCUCUAUAGAGGAAGGGGAGGUCGUAACA
rnacentral:rRNA from 1 species